rnacentral:rRNA from 1 species
AUGGGUCAGAAGGCUUUGCGGCUCGGAAGAGAAGAAAAUUUAAAUCUCAGGAUAACCCAUGGCAAGGUUAAACUAGACGAGGCGGAACUAGGAGAGGGACACCACCACAACAUGUACUUUUAUCCCAAUGAAAAAUAUGAGGACGAGGAGACUGAAGAGAGGCAGAGAAUGUGGAGGGGAAAGGGUGUGUACAUACCUAGGUGUGAUGAUGAUGGAGAGCCGGUCAUUGACUUUGAUGGAAAGGUUGUGGGGAUGAUCAACUGUUCUGAAAGUGGGUCCUUUGUUCCUUCUUCCAUUUUGAACAACUGCAUGUAUUUGUGGAGGAAUUUCGGGUGCAUCCCUCGGCCCCACCUUGGAUUGCAGUGUGAGGCCCUGAAGUUUUUAGAUCCCAUCCAUGCUGAGUAUAUAUGGCGCAAGCUAAACAUUGAUGAUGGUCUUGUUGUUAAAGAGGUGUCAAUAGGAUCUCAUGCUGAGAAAGUUGGAAUCCGAGUUGGUGAUAUUAUUGAAUGCAUUGAUGGAGAACGUAUUUCCACCACAAUUGAGUUGGAAAACAAGUUGUUGGGCAUAUGCAUGGGCACUUUUGAUAGAGGAAAUGACAUUAAUGCUAAAGUGGAUGUUUUUGUCCGAGUAUUUCACACGGCCAACCAUGUCUGGAGAACAAAACAGUUAACUGUAAAUUUAUCCGAUCGCCGAGAAGUUGUUGAAGGAGCUUACUAUCCUAUCACUAAUGAAGAAGGGUGUUCUGCUCUUGUGUCACCUGACCAAGUUAACUCGGACUAG